UACAGAGGUCUCAAGCGUUGUUCGGAUUCAUUGGGCGUAAAGGGCGCGCAGGCGGCUCGGCACGUCCGUUGUGAAAUCGCCCGGCUCAACUGGGCGGGGUCAGCGGAUACGGCCGAGCUGGAGCAAGCUAGGGGGCAAUGGAAUUCCCGGUGUAGUGGUGGAAUGCGUAGAGAUGGGGGAGAACACUCGUGGCGAAGGCGGCCAGCUAGACCAGUUCUGACACUGAGGCGCGACAGCGUGGGGAGCAAACAGG
rnacentral:rRNA from 1 species